rnacentral:rRNA from 1 species
CCCCAAGAGAAAGCAUGAGGGACUUGUGAUGGUGCCUUUUGGGAGUGGAGGCAACAAAAAAAUCCGUAGCGUUCUUGCUCUCCAUGGCUCCCCUUACUGCCACUGCCUCGUGUUUCAACGGGAUUGGUGGUGGGAACACGACCCCGGUGCAGUCUGUGCCAAGGAAUAUUUUUGUUGGAGAGCAUUGCAUGCUUUGAUGCUUAGCUUAAUAAGCAUGUAAUGUGGUCCUCAGUAAUGUGAGAAUCUGCAUGACUCUCGGCAACGGAUAUCUUGGCUCUUGCAUCGAUGAAGAACGUAGCAAAAUGCGAUACUUGGUGUGAGUUGCAGAAUCCCGUGAACCAUCAAGUUUUUGAACGCAAGUAGCGCCCAAGGACUUCUGGUUGAGGGCACGCCUGCCUGGGCGUCACGCUUAGCUUCACUUUAUGCACUAGUUAGCAUGCUCACAGUGGUUUUAAUUUGUGCUUGGAUGUGUUGAUUGGCCUCUUAUGCCUUGUGGCAUUGUGGGCUGAAGUGUGGGAUUUGCCGCUAGUUUUGGACGUGGUGAGUGGUGGAUGGACUUUACGCACGAUGCCUCUUUCCGCGGACCAAUAGCUUAUUAAGCAAAAAUAUGAACCAAAGGAGUUGGCACUUUAUUGGGUCUUCAAACCAUUGACUCCAGGUCAGGCGGGAGCACCUGCUGAGCUUAAGCAUAUCAA